AUGGUGAAAAAUGAUCUUUCCAUAUUAGUCGCACAAAAUCCUUUUAAGGGCUUUCAUUUUGACCAAAAAGGAAGGUUUAUACCAAGUUUCAUCGAAAUCGGAGCCGUGGCUAAAUCGGACGUGACAUGUGCAAUAGCGCUUGUAGGCAAUCGCUCUGUAGGCAAUUGGGAAUGUCGGCAAUCGGAGCUGUCGGCAAAAUGUUAUGAAGAAAUAACUCCAAAAUCUUUUAUUGAUCUCACAGAAGAUGACUUAAGGAGAUUAAAUAUUAAAACAGGUCCAAGGAAAGAGAAAAUCGUACUUGAACCAUCAACCUCUCCAUUCGUAAUAUCAAGUCAUGCAAAUCUACAAGUUAAAGACCCAAAUAUCAGCUCCACUUCAAUCAUUUUAAAUAUACAGAAUGAAUAUUUAGAUAAAGAGAACGACGUAAAAGUUCAAGAGGAAAACAGUGAUAUGGCAGAGCUCAUUGAAACACCGCAUAUCAGUGGAACAGUACAGAAUAAUUUUAAGGAAGUUCCAACUGUAAUGGAUGUGAGAAGUUGGGUCAAAAAGCGCGAUGAGGAAAAUGUAAAAGACGAGUCCCUUGUUAGCAUUUUGGAUUCUGGUAUAGUCAAAGCAACUCAUAGACAAGAGCUUGUAAAAUUGGCAGUUUCUGGAAUGUCACAACUUCACAAUACCUUAUAUCCAACAGCAGAAAUUAACGAACAAUUAACUAAGAAUAUUAUUUUGGCUUUUCCUAAACUGCGUUCAAUGCUGACAAAUGGUGGUUACGAGCACUUUUAUGAUCGAAAAACAAACACCGGAUUCAUUGAAUUUCGACUUAAAACUCUUCGACUGAAAUUGCCCGCCAAGGAUAAAAAAAGGGCAGCAAAUAUACAACUGAGGAACAAACAAAAGUUAAUGAAAUUUAUGGAAAACGAAAGUGUUCUACUAGAUGAGCAAAAUUUCAAAUUAAAAGUGUCUGAACUAGCAUUUAAAAUGCCUAAUGACACAAAUAAGGAACUCAUACUGAAACUAACAGACGAAACAAGGGCUAAUCGCCUCAAUGAAAUAAAGAACUCGGAUAAACCGAUGACGGUGGUAGCAAUAUUGAAAAAAUAUCCUAGAUUCAAAGAUUUCAAUGGAGAACUUAUAUCGAGAAAAUUUUCUGCAGUCUUUCCAGAAAAUGAUAUAUUUUUGGGAACUUUUUCUGCGUUUUACGCACCACGGAUUUUGCAGUAUUGCAAAUCAAUAAAACAUCAUCUUUUGGAAUUGGUCAGAGACCUUGAAAGUAGAAUGAAUAUUUCUAUUUUUUUAAUCUAUUCUCUUAUUUAUUGUUCACUUUUUUAUUUUACAGAUAAUCUAAAAGCUUUAGUUCUGCUGCCGGAACUGUUACCUAGCUCGAAUUAUACAAAAAGAAAGACAUCUGGCAACACAAAGUCAAAUUCUAAAACGCCAAAAAUAAAAGUAGUUCCAAACGAUUUUUCUCAAAAAGUCGUACCAAGUAAAAAUUUGCUCCAAUUUAUUCAUGCAUCUGAUGAUCUUUUAUUGCAUCUCGCCCCUGCGAAUCGAGGAACUAGAAAUGUUCAACCAUGUUUAGUUUGUUCCAAGAGGGGACAAGAAAGAAGAGGGAUUUAUUACAUAAUGUCCGAUGGCCAUUUGAUCUAAAUUGGAGAUAAUGCUGUAGUAGCAUUUGACAUUCUACUGCAAUUCUACUAUUGUUUUGAUGUAGAAUUUCCUUCAGAUUUAGUAAACUUUUAUGAUUUCAUAACGGGCUGCAUAAUGAAACUGCAUAAACCCAAAGGAUGCAGCAUUGCACUAGAUACAACGUUACAGAAUAUAACGCUAAAUGAAAAUGACGAAGAGAUGGAGGAGAUAGAGGAUGAAAUUGAUUCUCCCGGCAUGAUAGCCGCCGAUUGAUUAUUUAUCGAUUCGUCGUCGUGAGCAUUGAAUUCGUACGAGAAUAUUUGGCACGUUUAUCCAUUGAGUUGAAAAUCUGAAACGCCCACUACACACUAGCGGGAAUCGCGUGCAUUUCACU